GUGAUGCAUUAUACUAUGGUGACAAAAAGCGCCCUCGCAGCUUGAAUGGUCUGGGCUGUGGCUCUAGGUUGGUGUAUCUGGUGCCUUUGCCAUGACCAAGAGUAAUAACCAGGUAUGACCCUUCGCUGGGCCAGCCUGAGCAGUAACAGGUGUGGGCUUCUAAUAGCAGCUUGAUGCCCAUGUAUAAUACUGCACACAGUUCUAUGUAGGAUCUGGGAAUUAUUUAUGCAGGCUGGAGCAAGGGGAAAAAUCGGUGCCCAAAGUGAUUGCUUAUUUUAUUGUAUGGUUAAUGAAUCUUACAUGCUUUUCUUUCAUUUGCAGCUGUUUACGUCCAUUGUGACACCUACGUGACAUUAUGUGGCCCCUUUGCCUGAUGGUGAGAUCAAUCUAUCCUAGGUGAAUUUCUGGUUAUGGAAAUUUCUAACCUCUACCAGUUUUGCAAUCAAAGGACUGCUUCAUAAGGAGGAUAUAUCUAGGAGGCUCUCUAUUGCUGAAGACGCAUGCUUGUACAUAAUCUUCUUUGGAAUGUUCAGAGCUGCAAGUUGGCAGGAGUGACAUUGGCCAAUAAAGAUGGAUGUAGUCCAGCAUCUGGAUGAAGCUGGGUAGAAGAUAUGGCUAAGGAUGCCUGAUCAUUAAAGUAAAGGUAACAAAGGAGCUGUCUCGGAUACUUGCCUUUGAUCUGAAGCUGUGCCUCAUUUUCAGCCCUCUGAUGUUUGCAACCUGAAGACUUGUAUUGUAAAAUGACCCUGCAUCACAACAGUGCCCUAUAUUCACAAAUUCCAGUGCAGUGUGAUGCAAUGAGGAAUGCCCAGCCUAAUAAUUUGCAAGGGUGUGAAAUGUGUAGACUGCUGUUGCACUUUAGAGUAAAUAUUAAAGAAUUUUUCUUAAGUAUUUCUAA